rnacentral:rRNA from 1 species
CCUACGGGUGGCAGCAGUGAGGAAUAUUGGUCAAUGGGCGCGAGCCUGAACCAGCCAAGUAGCGUGAAGGAUGACUGCCCUACGGGUUGUAAACUUCUUUUAUAUGGGAAUAAAGUGAGGCACGUGUACCUUUUUGUAUGUACUUUAUGAAUAAGGAUCGGCUAACUCCGUGCCAGCAGCCGCGGUAAUACGGAGGAUCCGAGCGUUAUCCGGUUUUAUUGGGUUUAAAGGGAGCGUAGAUGGGUUGUUAAGUCAGUUGUGAAAGUUUGCGGCUCAACCGUAAAAUUGCAAUUGAUACUGGCAGCCUUGAGUACAGUUGAGGUAGGCGGAAUUCGUGGGGUAGCGGUGAAAUGCUUAGAUAUCACGAAGAACUCCGAUUGCGAAGGCAGCUUACUAAACUGUCACUGACAUUGAUGCUCGAAAGUGUGGGUAUCAAACAGGAUUAGAUACCCUGGUAGUC